rnacentral:rRNA from 4 species
GGUUUACCUGUGUGACUGCGUACCUUUUGUAUAAUGGGUCAGCGACUUAUAUUCUGUAGCAAGGUUAACCGAAUAGGGGAGCCGGAGGGAAACCGAGUCUUAAUUGGGCGUUAAGUUGCAGGGUAUAGACCCGAAACCCGGUGAUCUAGCCAUGGGCAGGUUGAAGGUUGGGUAACACUAACUGGAGGACCGAACCGACUAAUGUUGAAAAAUUAGCGGAUGACCUGUGGCUGGGGGUGAAAGGCCAAUCAAACCGGGAGAUAGCUGGUUCUCCCCGAAAGCUAUUUAGGUAGCGCCUCGUGAAUUCAUCUCCGGGGGUAGAGCACUGUUUCGGCUAGGGGGCCAUCCCGGCUUACCAACCCGAUGCAAACUGCGAAUACCGGAGAAUGUUAUCACGGGAGACACACGGCGGGUGCUAACGUCCGUCGUGAAGAGGGAAACAACCCAGACCGCCAGCUAAGGUCCCAAAGUCAUGGUUAAGUGGGAAACGAUGUGGGAAGGCCCAGACAGCCAGGAUGUUGGCUUAGAAGCAGCCAUCAUUUAAAGAAAGCGUAAUAGCUCACUGGUCGAGUCGGCCUGCGCGGAAGAUGUAACGGGGCUAAACCAUGCACCGAAGCUGCGGCAGCGACACUGUGUGUUGUUGGGUAGGGGAGCGUUCUGUAAGCCUGUGAAGGUGUGUCGUGAGGCAUGCUGGAGGUAUCAGAAGUGCGAAUGCUGACAUAAGUAACGAUAAAGCGGGUGAAAAGCCCGCUCGCCGGAAGACCAAGGGUUCCUGUCCAACGUUAAUCGGGGCAGGGUGAGUCGACCCCUAAGGCGAGGCCGAAAGGCGUAGUCGAUGGGAAACGGGUUAAUAUUCCCGUACUUGGUGUUACUGCGAAGGGGGGACGGAGAAGGCUAUGUUGGCCGGGCGACGGUUGUCCCGGUUUAAGCGUGUAGGUGUGUGUUCCAGGUAAAUCCGGUUCACUUUAACACUGAGGCGUGACGACGAGGCACUACGGUGCUGAAGCAACAAAUGCCCUGCUUCCAGGAAAAGCCUCUAAGCAUCAGGUAACAUCAAAUCGUACCCCAAACCGACACAGGUGGUCAGGUAGAGAAUACCAAGGCGCUUGAGAGAACUCGGGUGAAGGAACUAGGCAAAAUGGUGCCGUAACUUCGGGAGAAGGCACGCUGACACGUAGGUGAAGUGAUUUACUCAUGGAGCUGAAGUCAGUCGAAGAUACCAGCUGGCUGCAACUGUUUAUUAAAAACACAGCACUGUGCAAACACGAAAGUGGACGUAUACGGUGUGACGCCUGCCCGGUGCCGGAAGGUUAAUUGAUGGGGUCAGCGCAAGCGAAGCUCCUGAUCGAAGCCCCGGUAAACGGCGGCCGUAACUAUAACGGUCCUAAGGUAGCGAAAUUCCUUGUCGGGUAAGUUCCGACCUGCACGAAUGGCGUAAUGAUGGCCAGGCUGUCUCCACCCGAGACUCAGUGAAAUUGAACUCGCUGUGAAGAUGCAGUGUACCCGCGGCAAGACGGAAAGACCCCGUGAACCUUUACUAUAGCUUGACACUGAACAUUGAGCCUUGAUGUGUAGGAUAGGUGGGAGGCUUUGAAGUGUGGACGCCAGUCUGCAUGGAGCCGACCUUGAAAUACCACCCUUUAAUGUUUGAUGUUCUAACGUGGACCCGUUACCCGGGUUGCGGACAGUGUCUGGUGGGUAGUUUGACUGGGGCGGUCUCCUCCUAAAGAGUAACGGAGGAGCACGAAGGUUGGCUAAUCCUGGUCGGACAUCAGGAGGUUAGUGCAAUGGCAUAAGCCAGCUUGACUGCGAGCGUGACGGCGCGAGCAGGUGCGAAAGCAGGUCAUAGUGAUCCGGUGGUUCUGAAUGGAAGGGCCAUCGCUCAACGGAUAAAAGGUACUCCGGGGAUAACAGGCUGAUACCGCCCAAGAGUUCAUAUCGACGGCGGUGUUUGGCACCUCGAUGUCGGCUCAUCACAUCCUGGGGCUGAAGUAGGUCCCAAGGGUAUGGCUGUUCGCCAUUUAAAGUGGUACGCGAGCUGGGUUUAGAACGUCGUGAGACAGUUCGGUCCCUAUCUGCCGUGGGCGCUGGAGAACUGAGGGGGGCUGCUCCUAGUACGAGAGGACCGGAGUGGACGCAUCACUGGUGUUCGGGUUGUCAUGCCAAUGGCACUGCCCGGUAGCUAAAUGCGGAAGAGAUAAGUGCUGAAAGCAUCUAAGCACGAAACUUGCCCCGAG